AAAGACUACAACAUUAUGAUUGCAGCUGAAAACUUCAAAGCAACCUGAAAUAAAGUACCUGCAAGUUACUGGACUGAAGAGAAGCUAUAGACAGAUGUAUGCUGAAACUUGCAAGGACAAUGCUCCAUGCCAGAUCAAUCAAGGUGUGGAGGGAGGACCACCAGAUCAAGACCCUGUCAUGGCCGGCCCAAUUUCCAGACCUGAGCCCUAUUGAAAAACUCUGGAAUGUGAUCAAGAGGAAGAUGGAUGGUCAGAAGCCAUUAAACAAAGCUGAGCAGCUUGAAUUUUUGCGCUCGGAGUGAAAUAAAGUUAUCCAGCAGCAAUAUAAAAGACUAGUAGAGAGCAGCCAAGACGCAUGAAAGCUGUGAUUGAAAAUCUAAAUGACAAUGUUUUUUUUUCUUCUUUUUUUAAAACAAGCUUUAUUGAUCAACUAUAAGUAACAUUAACAAAUAAAGAAAUUACAUUUGGCUAAA